rnacentral:tRNA from 1 species
UCCGCGGUAGCUCAAUGGUAGAGCGGCGCCCUGUUAAGGCGAUGGUUCUAGGUUCGAGUCCUAGCCGCGGAGCAA